rnacentral:rRNA from 1 species
UACGGAGGGUGCGAGCGUUGUCCGGAAUCAUUGGGCGUAAAGGGCGCGUAGGUGGCCCGGUCAGUUCGUGGUGAAAGCGCGGGGCUCAACCCUGCGUCGGCCAUGAAUACUGCCGCGGCUGGAGCACUGUAGAGGCAGGCGGAAUUCCGGGUGUAGCGGUGGAAUGCGUAGAGAUCCGGAAGAACACCGGUGGCGAAGGCGGCCUGCUGGGCAGUUGCUGACACUGAGGCGCGAAAGCGUGGGGAGCAACAGGG